UAUCCCUUCAGUUGAGGGAUCCCUCAAAUAGUGUUAUUUGAGGGAUGUGGCGCUCAACCGUUGGAUCUGUUUUAAUGAUCUUGUGUGGCUGAGAUUGUUUUACAUCUUUUAACCCGUUUUAUGCCAAAUAACCCGACACAUCCAAUGCUGGAGAAGACCUAAGGCACGCAGGCUCUCAGAUGGGAAACGAAGGAAAAGGAAGAACCCCUUGCAAGCCUAAGAGAAGACCCACUCUCUCGAGAUGAAAUGAUGACCCACCAUUUCCAACUAAGCUUGCGAGAUUUCUAUUUCUAUAAGGAUGAUGUUUUGAACUCCUAGUGAGUAGUGGCAAAAGAUAUCCAGUUUUACUUGCGUUUAACAUAUUUCUGGUGUUGUAUGAUUGCACUGACAGAGAUCCAUUUUAAGGUUAUCUAAGCCGUAUAGCUUCUUAGGGUCAGUUAGAUGUGAGUUAUUUUUUAUUAGACAAUAAUUAAUGGAAUAUAUGAGGUUCGAAAUUUUUUUAGGGUCAAUUAGGUGGUGCAAGUCUUUUUGAAUUGUUGUUUAUCCGACUCUAUUGAACUAUGAGCAAAGGUUGUUUUAAGGUAUAUCUUGUUUGGUUACUUUGUAAUUAGUUGUAUUAAUAAAAAUUGUUGAUGCAAUAUGUCAUAUUGCUUUCUCUA